GGAAGGAUCAUUACUGAGUGAGGGUCCCUCGGGGCCCAACCUCCCACCCGUGUAUACCGUACCUUGUUGCUUCGGCGAGCCCGCCCCCUUCUCGUUAGGGGGGCACAGCGCUCGCCGGAGACACCAACGUGAACACUGUCUGAAGUUUUGUCGUCUGAGUCGAUUGUAUCGCAAUCAGUUAAAACUUUCAACAAUGGAUCUCUUGGUUCCGGCAUCGAUGAAGAACGCAGCGAAAUGCGAUAAUUAAUGUGAAUUGCAGAAUUCAGUGAAUCAUCGAGUCUUUGAACGCACAUUGCACCCCCUGGUAUUCCGGGGGGUAUGCCUGUCCGAGCGUCAUUGCUGCCCUCAAGCACGGCUUGUGUGUUGGGUCGUCGUCCCCCCGGGGACGGGCCCGAAAGGCAGCGGCGGCACCGCGUCCGGUCCUCGAGCGUAUGGGGCUUUGUCACACCGCUCUUGUAGGCCCGGCCGGCUGCUGGCCGACGCUGAAAAGCAACCAACUAUUUCUCCAGGUUGACCUCGGAUCAGGUAGGGAUACCCGCUGAACUUAAGCAUAUCAAUAAGCGGAGGAAAAGAAACCAACCGGGAUUGCCUCAGUAACGGCGAGUGAAGCGGCAAGAGCUCAAAUUUGAAAUCUGGCCCCCUCGGGGUCCGAGUUGUAAUUUGCAGAGGAUGCUUCGGGUGCGGCCCCCGUCUAAGUGCCCUGGAACGGGCCGUCAUAGAGGGUGAGAAUCCCGUCUGGGACGGGGUGUCCGCGUCCGUGUGAAGCUCCUUCGACGAGUCGAGUUGUUUGGGAAUGCAGCUCUAAAUGGGUGGUAAAUUUCAUCUAAAGCUAAAUACUGGCCGGAGACCGAUAGCGCACAAGUAGAGUGAUCGAAAGAUGAAAAGCACUUUGAAAAGAGAGUUAAAAAGCACGUGAAAUUGUUGAAAGGGAAGCGCUUGCGACCAGACUCGCCCGCGGGGUUCAGCCGGCAUUCGUGCCGGUGUACUUCCCCGCGGGCGGGCCAGCGUCGGUUUGGGCGGCCGGUCAAAGGCCCCCGGAAUGUAGCACCCUUCGGGGUGCCUUAUAGCCGGGGGUGCAAUGCGGCCAGCCUGGACCGAGGAACGCGCUUCGGCACGGACGCUGGCAUAAUGGUCGUAAACGACCCGUCUUGAAACACGGACCAAGGAGUCUAACAUCUACGCGAGUGUUCGGGUGUCAAACCCGUGCGCGCAGUGAAAGCGAACGGAGGUGGGAGCCCCCCCGCGGGGCGCACCAUCGACCGAUCCUGAUGUCUUCGGAUGGAUUUGAGUAAGAGCGUAAAUGUGGGGACCCGAAAGAUGGUGAACUAUGCCUGAAUAGGGCGAAGCCAGAGGAAACUCUGGUGGAGGCUCGCAGCGGUUCUGACGUGCAAAUCGAUCGUCAAAUUUGGGUAUAGGGGCGAAAGACUAAUCGAACCAUCUGGUAGCUGGUUCCUGC
rnacentral:misc_RNA from 2 species